AUAUUCGAGCGUCGUUUUCGGAGCCGCGCAGUGAAGCAAAAACAAUGUUGAUCUACCUUUUCUUUGCCAUGGUGGCAGUUCAGUCAUCAAUGGCCGAUGAGCCGAUGGACUUGAAGCGAGUGCAAAGAGGGGCACUGUAUAUUCGGCUGCCUGCACCGUACUCGACCAACAUGUCGCAGUGUCAUGACACACAAACGGGGGAUUACUACAACGAGGGAGACUUCUGGUCAUCCAAGUACUCGGGAUGCAAGCUCAGCACAUGCGUCAACAUCAAUGGCGUUCUCAACGUCGAACGAUACUCAUGCCCAAUGGUUACGAAGAAUGUGGAUUACAACAUGAUGAGACAAGAGAACUACUUCUGCCACCACGCCUGGGGCAACCGGAACAAGGCGUUUCCCCUCUGCUGUCCCAGUCUUGCCUGCAGACACUAUGUGAAGGGGAGGAUGAUGCCGCUGCCCAAGCAUAUGUAUCCCUACAAGAAAAUCGAAAGUUAAUUGACUUUAUUACGGAAAAUGAGCGCCUUCUUCGGUAAAACGUCUUUGCAAUAGUGUGUGAGAUUAUAUCGUGUUUUGCCAGGGUUGCUGAGUUAAUAGAAGAUGCUGUUUGCGUAUUCCUCGUUGCAGGUUGUUGUCCUAACAUGUAUGCAAUAUAUGUUUCAUGUGUAUCUCAACUUAGAUGAAAUAAAAGUGUAAUAAACUUGUGAGUCACAUCCCCACUCUGCGCUACCGGUGCAAAUGUUAAAAAAAAAAACGUUUGCUGCAGGAGCCCUCAAAUGAGCAUUUCAGCUGUUUUCAUGAUGUGUUCACCAGUGCAUGCAAUACGUGUAACCUGUCACUGA
rnacentral:lncRNA from 1 species